rnacentral:rRNA from 1 species
AUUGAACGCUGGCGGCAUGCCUUACACAUGCAAGUCGAACGGCAGCACGGGUGCUUGCACCUGGUGGCGAGUGGCGAACGGGUGAGUAAUACAUCGGAACGUACCUUAUCGUGGGGGAUAACGCAGCGAAAGCUGUGCUAAUACCGCAUACGCCCCGAGGGGGAAAGCGGGGGAUCGCAAGACCUCGCGCGAUUAGAGCGGCCGAUGCCUGAUUAGCUAGUUGGUGGGGUAAAAGCCCACCAAGGCGACGAUCAGUAGCUGGUCUGAGAGGACGAUCAGCCACACUGGGACGGAGACACGGCCCAGAGUCCUACGGGAGGCAGCAGUGGGGAAUUUUGGACAAUGGGGGCAACCCUGAUCCAGCAAUGCCGCGGGAGUGAAGAAGGCCUUCGGGUUGUGAAGCUCUUUUGUCAGGGAAGAAACACCGGCUCUAACACAGUCCGGGAAUGACGGUACCUGAAGAAUAAGCACCGGCUAACUACGUGCCAGCCGCCGCCGUAA